rnacentral:rRNA from 1 species
ACAUACAAAUAACACGCCAGAGAAGUACAGGCGAAAAGCCAGAAACUCCAAGGACUGGACGGUGUCUCACACAACCUAGAGGAGCCUGUCCCAUAAUCGAUACCCCACGCUCCACCCUGCCCCCCCUUGUACCGCCCAGCCUAUAUACCGCCGUCGUCAGUUCGCCCCCUGAGGGACACCCAAAGCGAACAAAACAUUUUACACCACUAGCACGUCAGGUCAAGGUGUAGCUAACGGGGGGGAGGAGAUGGGCUACAUUCUCAGCCACCUGAGCACACCAACAGUGAUCUGAAACCUGCCACCACAAGGCGGAUUUAGCAGUAAACCAGGCAAGCUUGCCUGGUUGAACCAAGCCCUGAGACGCGCACACACCGCCCGUCACCCUCAUCAAAUAGACCCAAGCCCACCAAGCCUACUUCCCCAAUCAACAACACUCAGAUGAGAUAAGUCGUAACAUGGUAAGUGUACUGGAAAGUGCACUUG